rnacentral:rRNA from 1 species
ACGUACACUCCUGCGGGAGGCAGCAGUGGGGAAUUUUGGACAAUAGGCGAAAGCCUGAUCCAGCCAUGCCGCGUGCAGGAUGAAGGCCUUCGGGUUGUAAACUGCUUUUGUACGGAACGAAACGGCCUUUUCUAAUAAAGAGGGCUAAUGACGGUACCGUAAGAAUAAGCACCGGCUAACUACGUGCCAGCAGCCGCGGUAAUACGUAGGGUGCAAGCGUUAAUCGGAAUUACUGGGCGUAAAGCGUGCGCAGGCGGUUAUGUAAGACAGUUGUGAAAUCCCCGGGCUCAACCUGGGAACUGCAUCUGUGACUGCAUAGCUAGAGUACGGUAGAGGGGGAUGGAAUUCCGCGUGUAGCAGUGAAAUGCGUAGAUAUGCGGAGGAACACCGAUGGCGAAGGCAAUCCCCUGGACCUGUACUGACGCUCAUGCACGAAAGCGUGGGGAGCAAACAGGAUUAGAUACCCGAGUAGUCCCA